rnacentral:rRNA from 1 species
UACAGGCUUAACACAUGCAAGUCGAGGGGCAGCAUGGUCUUAGCUUGCUAAGACUGAUGGCGACCGGCGCACGGGUGAGUAACACGUAUCCAACCUGCCGUCUACUCUUGGACAGCCUUCUGAAAGGAAGAUUAAUACAAGAUGGCAUCAUGAGUCCGCAUGUUCACAUGAUUAAAGGUAUUCCGGUAGACGAUGGGGAUGCGUUCCAUUAGAUAGUAGGCGGGGUAACGGCCCACCUAGUCUUCGAUGGAUAGGGGUUCUGAGAGGAAGGUCCCCCACAUUGGAACUGAGACACGGUCCAAACUCCUACGGGAGGCAGCAGUGAGGAAUAUUGGUCAAUGGGCGAGAGCCUGAACCAGCCAAGUAGCGUGAAGGAUGACUGCCCUAUGGGUUGUAAACUUCUUUUAUAAAGGAAUAAAGUCGGGUAUGGAUACCCGUUUGCAUGUACUUUAUGAAUAAGGAUCGGCUAACUCCGUGCCAGCAGCCGCGGUAAUACGGAGGAUCCGAGCGUUAUCCGGAUUUAUUGGGUUUAAAGGGAGCGUAGAUGGAUGUUUAAGUCAGUUGUGAAAGUUUGCGGCUCAACCGUAAAAUUGCAGUUGAUACUGGAUAUCUUGAGUGCAGUUGAGGCAGGCGGAAUUCGUGGUGUAGCGGUGAAAUGCUUAGAUAUCACGAAGAACUCCGAUUGCGAAGGCAGCCUGCUAAGCUGCAACUGACAUUGAGGCUCGAAAGUGUGGGUAUCAAACAGGAUUAGAUACCCUGGUAGUCCACACGGUAAACGAUGAAUACUCGCUGUUUGCGAUAUACGGCAAGCGGCCAAGCGAAAGCGUUAAGUAUUCCACCUGGGGAGUACGCCGGCAACGGUGAAACUCAAAGGAAUUGACGGGGGCCCGCACAAGCGGAGGAACAUGUGGUUUAAUUCGAUGAUACGCGAGGAACCUUACCCGGGCUUAAAUUGCAGAUGAAUUACGGUGAAAGCCGUAAGCCGCAAGGCAUCUGUGAAGGUGCUGCAUGGUUGUCGUCAGCUCGUGCCGUGAGGUGUUGGCUUAAGUGUCAUAACGAGCGCAACCCUUGUUGUCAGUUUCUAACAGGUUCCGCUGAGGACUCUGACAAGAUUGCCAUCGUAAGAUGUGAGGAAGUUGGGGAUGACGUCAAAUCAGCUCGUCCCUUACGUCCGGGGCUUCACAGGUGUUACAAUGGGGGGUACAGAG